rnacentral:tRNA from 1 species
GGGGAUUUAGUUCAGUGGUAGAGCGCUUGCCUAGCAAGCGCAAGGUCCUGGGUUCAGUUCCCAGCUCCG